rnacentral:rRNA from 1 species
CCUAACGGGUGGCAGCAGUGAGGAAUAUUGGUCAAUGGACGCAAGUCUGAACCAGCCAUGCCGCGUGCAGGAAGACGGCUCUAUGAGUUGUAAACUGCUUUUGUACGAGGGUAAAUCCCGAUACGUGUAUCGGGUUGAAAGUAUCGUACGAAUAAGGAUCGGCUAACUCCGUGCCAGCAGCCGCGGUAAUACGGAGGAUUCAAGCGUUCUCCGGAUUUAUUGGGUUUAAAGGGUGCGUAGGCGGUUCGAUAAGUUAGAGGUGAAAUCCCGGGGCUCAACUCCGGCACUGCCUCUGAUACUGUCGGGCUAGAGUUUAGUUGCGGUAGGCGGAAUGUAUGGUGUAGCGGUGAAAUGCAUAGAGAUCAUACAGAACACCGAUUGCGAAGGCGGCUUACUGGACUGUAACUGACGUUGAGGCUCGAAAGCGUGGGGAGCAAACAGGAUUAGAUACCCGGGUAGUC